AAACUUCACUGGCAGAAGUUUCUUUCCUAAGCCCACACCCGGAACUGGGAUGUCUGUAUGUGUGUUCCAGCCUUGCAAGAGAAUGGCAGGAGGUCCCUGGGCAGGCGCACGCCUUGAGUGGGGGAGGCUCAGGAUGGAAGCGCGCCCCUGACCUUGAAUGGCCCAAGGCCCAGAAUUCCUACCACGCCCCUGGCGUCCGAGAAGAAGCAGCUAACCUGACCUUACCUGCAGUGAGCCAGGUGGAGGUGUGGUGGAAGGGGAAAGCCGGCCUUCUGGCACAGCACGGAGAAAGACCCGAGGCUCCUGCGCAGGGAAAGCCGAGGUUGCCACCGCAGGCCUGGCACGACUAGGGCCGUGAUGCCCCGCCCGGCCCGACCCCCCGCGCGCACAGGUACCUGGAGACGAUUUCAACUGAAGUAAUGAAGGCAGUGUCGUGCUGUCGAGAGAAAGGUGGAUCCCAACAACAGGAAACUACCUAAAUCACCGACCAGUUCUGGUGCUGCCUGCGAGCAGGGCUGCCUCGCCCGCCGCCGCCGCCGCUGCCGCCGCCGCCGCUGCCGCUGCCACCACCGCCGCCACCACCGCCGCCAAGGAGAGAACCCUGCGAUCGCGCCCGGCCCAGUCCAGCCCCUAGACAACCUGAACCCGGCGCCUUGACGGAGUGCCCCAGGCGGCCGCAAAUGCGUCACAGGGGAAGCCUCAGGCCCCAGUAAGCCAACGUCAAGCCCGUUUGCCAACCUACAUGUCCAUGCCUGCAAGCCCUUCUCUUGGCCAAGGAAGAAAGGAAGAAAGAAAAAAGAAACGCAGGGGCCUGUAUCCCCUGAUUAAGCACAGCGUAGCACUCCAGGCAGACGUGCCCAGUGGCGGCUCCUUGCACCAUUGACCUCAGGCCAGACACCUCAGCGCCAACAAUGGGACCUCGGCCUUCCGGCUAGGUUUGCCCCAGGCUGGGCAGGAAACCAGCUCGCCGAGGACAGGGGCCAUUUCCAGCAGAGUGGGACCCCAAGACAGCAAACCAGCCCAGUCACGACUUGACACUUAGGACAAUAUCUAUCUCUAUAGAAUUUUAGCACGAUAUGGCUUUUUCCCCCAGAAAACAACAAAUAAACCAGCACCAAGCAAACACAAAGAAA